rnacentral:siRNA from 1 species
AAACUUGUCCACACCUUUUGGU